ensembl:lncRNA
GAUGAGGAAGGGCUAGAUGAGGAAGGGCUAGAUGAGGAAGGGCUAGAUGAGGAAGGGCUAGUUGAGGAAGGGCUAGAUGAGGAAGGGCUAGAUGAGGAAGGGCUAGAUGAGGAAGGGCUAGAUGAGGAAGGGCUAGAUGAGGAAGGCUAGAUGAGGAAGGGCUAGAUGAGGAAGGCUAGAUGAGGAAGGCUAGAUGAGGAAGGCUAGAUGAGGAAGGGCAGAUGAGGAAGGCUAGAUGAGGAAGGGCUAGAUGAGGAAGGGCUAGUUGGGCAGGGCUAGAUGAGGAAGGGCUAGAUGAGGAAGGCUAGAUGAGGAAGGCUAGUUGGGCAGGGCUAGAUGAGGAAGGCUAGAUGAGGAAGGCUAGAUGAGGAAGGCUAUUUGGGUCGGGCUAGAUGAGGAAGGCUAGAUGAUGAAGGGCUAGAUGGGAAGGGCUAGAUGAGGAAGGGCUAGAUGAGGAAGGCUAGAUGAGGAAGGCUAGAUGAGGAAGGGCAGAUGAGGAAGGCUAGAUGAGGAAGGGCUAGAUGAGGAAGGGCUAGUUGGGCAGGGCUAGAUGAGGAAGGGCUAGAUGAGGAAGGCUAGAUGAGGAAGGCUAGUUGGGCAGGGCUAGAUGAGGAAGGCUAGAUGAGGAAGGCUAGAUGGGAAGGGCUAGAUGAUGAAUGCUAGUUGGGAAGGGCUAGAUGAUGAAGGCUAGAUGAUGAAGGGCUAUGUGAGGAAGGGCUAGAUGGUAAGGGCUAGAUGGGAAGGGCUAUAUGAUGAAGGGCUAGAUGGGAAGGGCUAGAUGGGAAGGGCUAGAUGACGAAGGGCUAUAUGAGGAAGGGCUAGAUGGGAAGGGCUAGAUGGGAAGGGCUAUAUGAUGAAGGGCUAGAUGGGAAGGGCUAGAUGACGAAGGGCUAUAUGAUGAAGGGCUAGAUGGGAAGGGCUAGAUGGGAAGGGCUAGAUGAGGAAGGCUAGUUGAUGAAGGGCUAGAUGAGGAAGGCUAGUUAGGCAGGGCUAGAUGGGAAGGGCUAGAUGGGAAGGGCUAGAUGGGAAGGGCUAGAUGGGAAGGGCUAGAUGAGGAAGGCUAGUUGGGGAAGGCUAGAUGGGAAGGGCUAGAUGAGGAAGGAUAGAUGGGAAGGGCUAGAUGAGGAAGGGCUAGAUGGGAAGGGCUAGAUGGGAAGGGCUAUAUGAUGAAGGCUAGAUGGGAAGGGCUAGAUGGGAAGGGCUAUACGAUGAAGGCUAGAUGGGAAGGGCUAGAUGAUGAAGG